UGAAUCUGAGACCCAGAUAAAGCCCCAGGGGACCAUCUUAAGGACCCAAGCAGCGAAUUUUAUGGAUCAGAUGACAAGUCGGUAGAAGCCAGAUUAUUUUUCCGAGUCCAGCAAGGCCUUGGAGCCUGCCUCCUCCUUCCCUGACCCUCUCCAAACUGCUCCAGCCAAGUGAGGUUUGAAGAAAAUACGGUCUGUGCAGGCUGACAGCGUGAUGGGAUGCAGGGCUCUCCUCCUCCACACUGACCGCCCGGGCUGGGCGGGAGCGGCUGGCCAUCGCCAGCAACGCCGCCUCUCCCCGCUCUCGCUCCGACCCCGCCAUCGCCGACACUUGGCUUUUAUUUUACGAUUGUGUUUAUACAGCAAACAUACUUUGGAAAAAGAAGCACUCUCUCUGGCUGCCGGCCACACCACCUUGUGGUUUCAGAACAAAGCAGGGCUGCGUCUGAUCCCUGGGUGCAGAGGAGUCCACCCAAGGGGACAUAGGUGCUCUGAGACAGUGUUGCCAUUGACUCAGGGUCUGGCAUCCCCUCUUCUGAGUCACAUGCCCUUGUGACAAGAGGUGGGCGCUUUCAGUCUCCUGGGGAAGAAGCCUCAGCACAAAGUCAGAGACCCUGCCCGUGUUUGUACCUGUAACAUCCACUGUGUUCCAUCAAGAAUAAAAAGAUGACCUAAAAUCUACCAGCUCCCGAGAACAGUGUAAGUGCUUCCCAGACUUCUAUCAUCGUCAUUAGUAAGGUACCGCCAGGCACUGUCUUUGUGCUUUGUAAAUAUUUUCUCUAAUUCUUACAGCAGCCCGGGAGGAAAAGUAUCAUUAUCCCGUUUUAGAGAUUUGGCUCAGAGAAGUUAAGUAACUUGCCCAAAGUUGCAGAGCUGGGCAGUGUUAGAGGCUGUCUAACUCCAAAGUCUAAGCUCUUUAUAAGAAAGUCUGCAGCUUCUUAAUACUUUUUCACUCCUUUCUUCUUCUUCUUCUUCUUCUUCUCCUUCUCCUUCUCCUUCUCCCUCCCCUCCCCCUCCCUCUCUCUUCUUCUUCUUCUUCUUCUUCUUCUUCUUCUUCUUCUUCUUCUUCUUUUUUCUGUCUUGAUGGACCACACAGGGUCUGACCAUAAGCAGCAUCAGAUCCUCAGGGUUCAUGGGUCCCUUGGCCUCUCCUUGGAGAGAAGUUGCCUCUUCACUUCUCCAAUCCCUGGCCUCUGGGGUUGUCUGAGGAAUCCCUGCCAUGUUUCUCAGGGACUGAGCUGUGAAGAGUGAUGGUCUUUGGGCCAAACGUCCUUCCCAGUGCCUCUCACGGAAUUGCUGAAAAUAUCAGUUAGGGGUGGGGUUGGCGUGGACCUCAGAGUGUUGCCUCCUGGGAGCCGCCUUCCCACCCAGCUGACUGCACGUCCACGUCCUUCCCACCUACAUUGGGUGGUGAGUUCCAUACGACUCUGGGAGACUUGGCAGGCUGAGCUCUAACAGCUGUGGGCCUGAGGGAGAUGGCCAGGGAGGGGGAAGAGGUCCCACAAUCAGGCCCUGAGGAGCAAGCCUGAGAAGGGAGGAAGCAUGGAGGUGCCCACCCACAAAGUCCAGCCAGGACCCCUAAAACCACAGCUACUGUAGCCAGGGACACUGUAGCCACUGGAUUUGCAGGCUUAGUGGCUCACGGGGAAGCGGACAGAGAACAUUCUGUAACUUUAAGGUCUGUGGGACGAAGGAACAACUGUUCACCUGUCAACCCCACCUUCUCUUUUUCAUUUUUGCCAAAGCUGUGUGUGUGUGUGUGUGUGUGUGUGCGCGCGCGCGCAUGUGCCUGUCUGUGUCUGUCUGUGUGAAGGCCAUCAUUGUACCCAGAGCUCAAACAUCUCAUGCCUGGAGUGAGGCCAAGAAUUCUUCAAGGUAGAACCUGUGACAUUGAUGGUGAGAGCUAGAUAGGGCAUCCCAAACACCCACAGUGGAACAAAAGAAUGACUGUACAAGUGAAUCAAGGAGUGAAGGAAUCAACAAACUAAUGAGACCAGAGAUCUAUGUUGGGCUGUUCUCAUCUUUCGUCUCUUUUUCUCCUUCUCUCUAUGAGUUCCACAAGCUGCCUAGGAAUCCUGGGCCCUCCUGUGAAUGAACACAGUUUGAAUCAACCUAUCAACGACCCUCAGAUACAGCAUCCAGAUACAUCAUUGCCAAGGUGACGACCGUCUCCUACAACACCUAUUCCAGGCAAUCUGAAGAAAGAAAGCGCUGGAGCACUGGGCUAGAAUCAGAAGACCCACACUCGAGCUCCAGUCUGGCUCCCAGUUCGUUGGGUGGCCUUAAUUAGGACUCUUCUUCUCUGGCCAUUAGCUGCGGACUCUCUCAAAGCAGUGCACGGCCUAGGGAGGCUGCUAAAGCCCAUCAAACUAUGGUUCUCUGUAAGUGGCCUCUGAAGGUGCCCACAGCCAUCACAUACUUGACCUAUGGUACAGGAGCCACAGUCAUUGCAGACCACAGACUCCUUAAGAGACCCCAGCUGAAUUUUCAAGUGUCUGUAGCUUCCUUCUGUCUUCCAGCUCCUGGAAAUGAGGCCCUGAGGGAGCCUGACAAGGCCUGUCCUGGGAGGUGCCAGCGGAAAGGGAAGGAGAGUCCCAGGCAGAGAACCGAUUAAAUAGCAUUUUAUCCCAAUAAUGAUGUCUCCAAGAGAACCCCUCUAAGCACCAGAUCCACUCUCCAGGGGACACUAGUUAACAGCAAGACCAGCACAGAAGAGUUGAAGGACUCCUGUUGGUGGCCACCUGUCUCUUGUUGCCAUGGGUUGGUUCCAACAUGAAGGAAUAUUUUACCACAUAAAGAACCACUGCAGAACUUAA